rnacentral:rRNA from 1 species
GUGCCAGCCGCCGCGGUAAUACCGGCAGCUCAAGUGAUGUCCCAUAUUAUUGGGCCUAAAGCGUCCGUAGCCGGCCUCGCAAGUCCGUCGGGAAAUCCAGUAGCUCAACUACUGGGCGUCCGGCGGAAACUACAAGGCUUGGGACCGGAAGGCUCGAGGGGUACGUCCGGGGUAGGAGUGAAAUCCUGUAAUCCCGCACGGACUACCGAUGGCGAAAGCACUCUGAGAAGACGGCUUCGACAGUGAGGGACGAAAGCUCGGGUCUCAAACCGGAUUAGAAACCCCAGUAGUCC